rnacentral:rRNA from 1 species
GAUGAACGCUGGCGGCAUGCCUUACACAUGCAAGUCGAACGGUAACAGGUCUUCGGAUGCUGACGAGUGGCGAACGGGUGAGUAAUACAUCGGAACGUGCCCGAGAGUGGGGGAUAACGAAGCGAAAGCUUUGCUAAUACCGCAUACGAUCUCAGGAUGAAAGCAGGGGACCGCAAGGCCUUGCGCUCACGGAGCGGCCGAUGGCAGAUUAGGUAGUUGGUGGGAUAAAAGCUUACCAAGCCGACGAUCUGUAGCUGGUCUGAGAGGACGACCAGCCACACUGGGACUGAGACACGGCCCAGACUCCUACGGGAGGCAGCAGUGGGGAAUUUUGGACAAUGGGCGCAAGCCUGAUCCAGCCAUGCCGCGUGCAGGAUGAGGGCCUUCGGGUUGUAAACUGCUUUUGUACGGAACGAAAAGACUCUGGUUAAUACCUGGGGUCCAUGACGGUACCGUAAGAAUAAGCACCGGCUAACUACGUGCCAGCCGCCGCGGUAAUAC